UGCUCUCUGUUUCUUUUCAUAGAGAGUUGAGCCUGCCCAGUGAAAUUUUAACGGCCGCGGUACUCUGACCGUGCAAAGGUAGCAUAAUCAUUUGCCUUAUAAUUGAAGGCUAGUAUGAAUGGUUUGACGAAAGCAGAUCUGUCUCCCCUUUACCUCCUAGAAUUUGACUUUUAGGUGAAGAGGCCUAAAUAAUAUUGAAGGACAAGAAGACCCUGUCGAGCUUAAAAGAAUAAGUAGAAGUUAAUAUAUCUAUAAAUAAAUAAUCUACUAAGCUUUUUAGUUGGGGCGACUGAGGAACAGGUAGAGCUUCUUUGGUAAAAGAAACCAACAAGUUUAGAUCCAGUAGAAAUUUGAUCAAAGAAAUUAGUUACCGCAGGGAUAACAGCAUAAUCUUCCUUGAGAGACCUAAUCGAAAGGAGGGGUUGUGACCUCGAUGUUGGACUAGAAUAUCCUAAAGAUGCAGAAGUCUUUGAGGGUUGGUCUGUUCGACCAUUAAAAUUCU
rnacentral:rRNA from 1 species